AACGCACAUUGCGCCCGGGAGCAUUCUCCCGGGCAUGCCUGUUCGAGCGUCAUUUCAACCCUCGAUUUCCCUUUGGGGAAGUCGGCCGUUGGAGAUCGGCAGCACUGCCGGCUCCCAAAUACAGUGGCGACCCGCCGCGGGGACCCCUGCGUAGUAACUUACACUCGCACCGGAAACCAGACGUGUCACGCCGUAAAACCCCCAACUUUCUGAACGUUGACCUCGGAUCAGGUAGGAAUACCCGCUGAACUUAA
rnacentral:misc_RNA from 2 species